UUUACAGACAGAUGGAAUGCAUAUGACUCAGGAAAUGAACAGUGCAUUGUUGAUAUUGCCACCCAAGCAUCCUGCCAGCAACCUGAGCCUGAUCCCAGGUGCUCGGUUGACAUGAUAGGAAAUAUGCUCUAGGGGAAGCCCGCUGCCAUGGUCGUGAGGAGCCCUAUGGAGACCUGGGUCGUAAAGAACAGAGCCUACUGCCAACUGCUAGCCAGCUUGCUGGUCCUGUGAGUGUACCAACCUGGGAGCAGAUCCUCCAGCCCAGCUUAUUUACUGUUUGUAGCUGACCCUGAGUAGAAAAGUGAAAUGAGUGAUCCCAAUGCCUCUGAACGGUUGCAAUACCCCAGCGGUUCUUCACUCAACACAGGCUGCAAACAGAUUGUGACACUGUUGGAGGCAGCAUGGAACUGAGACGAUGUGAAGUGGAGGUGAUAUGAAGCUGAGAGAGUAUCCCUGCAGUCAGGUGACUUAAUUCAGGUGUUCUAGGCCUACCUGUGGGUUCUUGUUUUUGUUUUUGCUUGCAGUGCUGAGGAUCUAAUACAAAGCCUCAUGCAUGCUAGGCAA